rnacentral:misc_RNA from 1 species
AAGUCGUAACAAGGUUUCCGUAGGUGAACCUGCGGAAGGAUCAUUAUUGAAUACGCUUUUGGGUGCUGAUGCUGGCCUUUCGGGGCAUGUGCUCGCAUUCAAAACUAUUUAUCUUCUCUUGUGCACCUUUUGUAGUCUUUUUGAAUGUUAGAGGGGGAGAGCUUGCUCUUUCUUGAUGGCUUCAGGAGACUAUGUUUUCAUAUACGUUUAGUAUGUUAUAGAAUGUCUUUUUAACGGCCGUAACAAGCCAUUAAACCUAAUACAACUUUCAACAACGGAUCUCUUGGCUCUC